GCUGGGUGUGGUGGCGUGUGCCUGUAGUCCCAGCUACUCAGGAGGCUGAGGCAGGAGAAUUGCUUGAACCCGGGAGGCAGAGGUUGCAGUGACCCAAGAUCACACCACUGCACUCCAGCCUGGGCGACAGAGUGAGGCUCCGUCUAAAAAAAAAAANNNNNNNNNNUUUUUUUUUUUAGACGGAGCCUCACUCUGUCGCCCAGACUGGAGUGCAGUGGCCGGAUCUCAGCUCACUGCAAGCUCCGCCUCCCGGGUUCACGCCAUUCUCCUGCCUCAG
rnacentral:SRP_RNA from 1 species